rnacentral:rRNA from 1 species
GAUGAACGCUGGCGGCGUGCCUAAUACAUGCAAGUCGAGCGAAUGGAUUAAGAGCUUGCUCUUAUGAAGUUAGCGGCGGACGGGUGAGUAACACGUGGGUAACCUGCCCAUAAGACUGGGAUAACUCCGGGAAACCGGGGCUAAUACCGGAUAACAUUUUGAACCGCAUGGUUCGAAAUUGAAAGGCGGCUUCGGCUGUCACUUAUCGCUGGACCCGCGUCGCAUUAGCUAGUUGGUGAGGUAACGGCUCACCAAGGCAACGAUGCGUAGCCGACCUGAGAGGGUGAUCGGCCACACUGGGACUGAGACACGGCCCAGACUCCUACGGGAGGCAGCAGUAGGGUAUCUUCCGCAAUGGACGAAAGUCUGACGGAGCAACGCCGCGUGAGUGAUGAAGGCUUUCGGGUCGUAAAACUCUGUUGUUAGGGAAGAACAAGUGCUAGUUGAAUAAGCUGGCACCUUGACGGUACCUAACCAGAAAGCCACGGCUAACUACGUGCCAGCCGCCGCUGUAA